rnacentral:rRNA from 1 species
CCUACGGGAGGCAGCAGUGGGGGAUAUUGCACAAUGGGGGGAACCCUGAUGCAGCGACGCCGCGUGGGUGAAGAAGCGCCUCGGCGCGUAAAGCCCUGUCAGCAGGGAAGAAAAUGACGGUACCUGAAGAAGAAGCCCCGGCUAAAUACGGGCCAGCAGCCGCGGGAAGACGUCGGGGGCAAGCGUUAUCCGGAUUUACUGGGUGUAAAGGGGGCGCAGACGGCGAUGCAAGCCAGGAGUGAAAGCCCUGGGCCCAACCCCGGGACUGCUGUUGGAACUGCGUGGCUGGAGUGCAGGAGGGGCAGGCGGAAUUCGUGGUGUAGCGGUGAAAUGCGUAGAUAUCAGGAGGAACACCGGUGGCGAAGGCGGCCUGCUGGACUGCAACUGACGUUGAGGCCCGAAAGCGUGGGGAGCGAACAGGAUUAGAUACCCGGGUAGUC